rnacentral:rRNA from 1 species
AUUGAACGCUGGCGGCAUGCUUUACACAUGCAAGUCGAACGGCAGCAUGGGUGCUUGCACCUGAUGGCGAGUGGCGAACGGGUGAGUAAUGUAUCGGAACAUAUCCGCAAGUGGGGGAUAACGUAGCGAAAGUUACGCUAAUACCGCAUAUUCCCUGAGGGGGAAAGGAGGGGAUCCGCAAGGACCUUUCGCUUACGGAGUGGCCGAUAUCAGAUUAGCUAGUUGGUGAGGUAAAGGCUCACCAAGGCGACGAUCUGUAGCGGGUCUGAGAGGAUGAUCCGCCACACUGGGACUGAGACACGGCCCAGACUCCUACGGGAGGCAGCAGUGGGGAAUUUUGGACAAUGGGCGCAAGCCUGAUCCAGCCAUGCCGCGUGAGUGAAGAAGGCCUUCGGGUUGUAAAGCUCUUUCAGCUGGAAAAAAAUCGCUUCACCUAAUACGUGGAGUGGAUGAUGGUACCAGCAGAAGAAGCACCGGCUAACUACGUGCCAGCCGCCGCUGUAA